UUCUUUGUCUGCAAAAUGAAGGAUUUUUGAAUGUACUACCCACACCAUCGGCCCCACAGUGGACCAUUCCAGGGUCAUGGGCGUGAGACACGUUCCCAGGGGUUGUAGUUGUUCACUCCCGUUAAUAUGAUCUGGCUGUUCCAGUUUAGUUGUCGUUCGUUAUAUCAAUGGUGGACGUGUUUCUAAUCGUUUUUUGGAAGCCAUUUUGCAAUAAUAAUAAGAUGAAGAAGAAAAAAGAAAAACAAACUUCCCCCAAAUCAGGGAACUGGCUCGCCAGACGGGGGCGCUGUUGUUCUUCAUUAAUUUAAUGCUAAUAUUUUCAUUUAAAAAGUUUAACUGCUGGACACAAGAUGUCUCCUACUCCACUGAAAAGUCCAUUAUCAAUCAAAAUGACAGAAAUGGAAACCUGGAGUCAUCAUGCUGGCAAGCAACAAAAUGGAGAUUCCACUGCAGAAACAUGGGAGGCACAAGAUGACGAAACCUAUAAAGAUAAAGAGCGGCCCAGACCGCCAAAUGCUGAACAACUGAAUGUCUCAACUUUGUUUUCAUUAUUCCUCUCUUUGCAAUGCUGAGCUGCAUAUUAUUUCAGUGGGGAA